rnacentral:rRNA from 1 species
GACGAACGCUAGCGGCGUGCCUAAGAAAUGCAAGUCGAGCGAAUCGAGGGUGCUUGCACCCAAAGGUUAGCGGCGAACGGUCGCGUAACACGUAAGCAACCUGCCUCAAAGUGUGGGAUAGUCCUCCGAAAGGGGGCUUAAUACCGCAUGUGGACGAUUUCUCGCAUGUGAGAUUGUCUAAAGCAGCGAUGCGCUUUGAGAUGGGCUUGCGGCCUAUCAGCUAGUUGGUGUGGGUAACGGCCCACCAAGGCGACGACGGGUAGCUGGUCUGAGAGGAUGGUCAGCCGGACUGGGACUGAGACACGGCCCAGACUCCUACGGGAGGCAG